AGAUAAGACGGUGUGCUUUUCGUGCCCGUCAUAUAGUGGCGUCGCUGCUUCAUGUAAUAACUCAUAGAAACCCUUAGCCCCGUCAUUCGGCUCUUGUUGUGUGCUACUGUCAUCCCUAUCUGUAUUCCACUGGAAGUAUGAACCAGCAGCUUCGACUAUCAUGUUAGUACAGUCAAAGGUUUCGUCACCUCUAGAUUCUGGUUCUGAUUCAUGUUCAUCUAACCAGGUUUCCCCAUGAUAGAUCCAUGU
rnacentral:lncRNA from 1 species